AUGUCGACGCCGUCGAGAAAGCGCCUGAUGCGGGACUUCAAGCGGCUGCAGCAUGACCCACCGGCCGGGAUCAGCGGCGCGCCGCACGACAACAACAUCAUGCUCUGGAACGCCGUCAUCUUCGGGCCGGAUGAUACGCCAUGGGACGGAGGCACGUUCAAGCUUACCUUGCAGUUUACAGAAGAUUACCCCAACAAGCCGCCAACUGUUCGUUUUGUCUCUAGGAUGUUUCACCCAAAUAUUUAUGCAGAUGGGAGCAUCUGCUUGGAUAUUCUACAGAAUCAGUGGAGCCCUAUAUAUGACGUUGCUGCCAUAUUGACUUCUAUUCAGUCCUUGCUGUGUGAUCCAAACCCCAACUCUCCAGCAAAUUCGGAAGCUGCCAGAAUGUUCAGCGAGAACAAGCGAGAGUACAACCGCAAAGUCCGCGAGAUCGUGGAGCAGAGCUGGACUGCUGACUAA
rnacentral:rRNA from 1 species